CUCUCUUCCAUCUCUCUAUUUGUGUUGUCUCUCUGUUCUCUCUCAAUUUGCUCAACCGCCAUCCACCAACUUGUGCUACCGUCAUGGAGAACCAACCAUCGCCUUCCCUCUCACAAUCGUUCGUGGAUCAACACUCAAUCAAAUUCCAAUUGUAGGGGGUGGAGAACCUAACUCAAGCCCCACACAAAAAACAAAUGAAUCUUGAAAUUGAACUUGCAUAGUGGCUGGUAAGGCUGCUACAGGAGUAGCGUUGUGGUGGCUAGCGGUAGAGAUGACACCAUAGGGACGAUGGAUGUAGACGAAAGAUGAGGUGAUUGGUGUGAUUUGGGUAGUAAUUUUGAAGUCUGAGGCUGAAGAAUUUAGCAUUUGUGAUUUCGUGGGACAUCAACAAAGCUAGGUAUUAGUGUGAGAUUGGCUACAAAUUUGGAGUUGGUAGUGGUCAACAUGAUGGUGAAGAUGUUGUUUGGAGUUGAUAUUUACCCAAAAGAAACUGUCGAUGGUGGUCAAAUUAUAAGCGCCCAAUGGGAGGUGGUGGUGAGAAGUUAUUGGUAUUAGGGGUUGGGGUGGGGUGUUUGAGGAAGAAGAUUAAAAAAAAUUUAUUAUUAUUAUUUUAAUUGUUU
rnacentral:lncRNA from 1 species